rnacentral:sRNA from 1 species
GCCAGGAGUGGUGAUGCACACCUGUAAUCCCAGCAGCUUGGGAGGCUGAGACAGGAGGAUCACGUGCUCAAAGCCAGCCUCAGAAAUAGGGAGGCCUAAGCAACUCAGUGAGACCCUGUCUCUA